AACCAUUCUAACUGCGCAUCUUAUGGAUGACAAAUCAGAAGCACAAAGAAGGGAGGUGUUUGGCUCAGUAUCGCUCAGCAGUCCAAUAAACAUAUCCUUGGAUGAUGAUUUAAAAACAAUAAAGUGCCCAAACUCCUUGGGAAGGCAGAAGAGAGCUUCACUGAGAAGAUGGGAUAGAACUGGACGUUAAGGAUGAUUUUGAGAGAUGCAGCUCAGUGCUGGCUAGAGUCCGUGGAGUCAAGUUCAAGUGGGGCCCAAAUUCCGCUUAGUUUGGGAGCAUUG